CAUCUGGCGUAGCUUUCUCUCAUGCGCUGCCUUUCUAGCUCUCUGCUCCUGUUUCUUGAUCCUCCACUGCAUGCGUCUUCUACGUAUAACCUCCUCAGGAUCUACUUUUGGAUUUGGCGUUGCCACUAUUUGGCUUCUAUCACAUCUUGAUUUAUCUGUAUGCUGUGUCUCUGGACCAGAAGGCUUGGUGCACCUGCUUGUUUUUUUCUGAAUGGGGAUCUGUCUGCAUAUUACGAAGAACUGCAUGUUUGGUUGCAUCUUUGCUGGCUUUUCUAGCCCGCUGUUGUCUUUUCUUUAACCGCCAAUACUCUCUCUUUCGUUGAAGCUCAUCACUUUCACCAAGCUGUUGCUUUUGCAAGGCCUGUGAAGGGUAGGCCUGCUUGGGAUUUGCUCCAUCAUCACUGAACUUCUGAGGUUGCAGAGCCACUGGAGAAAUGGCACGACUUCCGUCUGUAGCCUCUUGACAUACGUUAUGAGUGUUACAAUGACUCGUGUUUUCAAAAGUUGAUGCCUGAGCACUCAAUUUGAUAUCUUUAAGGCUUGUGUCUUUUAAAAUGUCACACUGUAAUAAGAUGUUUUGUUGUAAGGUAAGACUUGGCUUUGCAUCUUCAGAUGUAAAAAGGUCAUCUUUAGUCAACGGAAGAGGCUCAUUUUCACACUUAACAUGCAUUUUGUUGGCAUUAUUUUCUUCUGGUGUGUAAAGCGAUUCCUCCAGGAGCUUCUUCAUGGAAGCAACAGCCUGAAGAGUGGUGGCAUGAUGGUCCACAGCUGUUGGAGGCUCAAUGUGUGAUUCUAAGGAUGCACAAGGUGAAGGUUUGCUGCUAUUAACACUGAUGCAGGGAAUUAUUUCUGGGAUGGAAAACACAGUUUGUAUAGUGGGAUAGACAUGCUCUUCUUUUAUAGGCAUUGGGGCACUGGUAGAGGAGUGACAAACUGUUGUGGUGAUAGAUGAAGUAAUACUUUGCCUAUGGUUUGACUUCUUGUUUUGCUCUCUCUGCUUUAACACAGAAACCUUCGACCUAAGCAGACCAUUUCCAAGUCGGGCAGCUUGACUAGCCCUUUGCUCUCGUUUCUUUAUCCUCCAAUACUCCCUCAAACGGGCGACCCUUUCUUCUUCUGUUGGGGUUUCAGACUGGAUGGUGACUGUCAUACUGCCCAUAACUGCACCUCUGGUUAACCUAGACUGUACUAGAGAGUUUUGGUGAGCAUUAGUAGAAUAACUAGAAAUGUUGCAUGGAGCGGAAUCUAGCUUUGUGACUGCAGGAGCAUCUGAAUAUUGGGGAGAAUUUACUUGAACCUGAAGUUUUACUUUUCCAAUGCAUUUCACACUGGAAAUGUCUUGACUUGUAGGUAGGGAAGCUUUAGGAGAUGUCCUCGAAAUGGAGACUGUCACUGUGCCAUCUUCUUUGAUAAAACCACCAAUGGUAUCUGAGGAAAUUGCAAAUGCACUUGCUUUGCUCGCUUGAACUCCACACGGCUGAUUAAAACUGUUAUAGGAGUGUCUCCCAUGAUGCUUUAGUGCGUCUCGUUCCUUCAGUCGUGCUUUCAAUGCCAUAGACAGCCUUGCUCUCUGCUCACGUUUCUUAAUUCUCCAGUAUUCUUUCUGCCUGGCAUGGCGAUCCUCGGGAGUCUCAACUUUGGAAGCACCAAGGGUGGAUUUCCUCAUUUGGUUUUGAAAACGUUUCUUUUGAGUAAGUGCAAAUUUCUGUACUUUGGAUUUGGAUUUACUUGAGGAUGACUGCAAAAUACCAGAUGUUAAGGAUGCAUGGUUUGGUUUAGGACUCUGAACAUGUAGUUGUGUUGUCCGAGAACCAUUAAAUUUUGCUUCCAGCGACUGCUGAUUAAGGGAUACAAGGUUAGAGUUGAGGCUGAUUCCUUUCAAGGCCUUACUGUAAGUAGGAGACGAAGCAUGCAUGAUACCAACAGAUAAAGGUUGUCCUUGUCUGAGACUCCCUUCUCGGUCCCGGGCCAGCUUUGCAGCACGCUUUGCUCUCUGUUCCCGCUUUUUGAUACGCCAGUUCUCUCUACGCUUAGCAACCAUCUCUUCUUCAGUCACAGCCACUCCCGUGUUGUGCUUUGAAGCAAAGGCACAUGUCCUUCUCUUAGUGAUAGGACUCUGGUUUUCAUGAACCUUACAUUCUGCAGAGGUCAAGGGUCUAAGUGAGUUCUGAGGCUUAUUUUGGUGUCUGUGCACUGGUAAAACCAUGGAUCCAUGGCUUUGCAGAGAUGUUGUUAAUUGCUUGCCAUUUAGGGAUGACAUUCCCGUUUUUGAUUUUGGAGCAUGAGUAUUGUUUGGAUUCAAAUCGAUGCAUGUUGUAGGCACUGAAUGUACUGUAGGGCAGAGAGAUUCAGCUGUUGAAGCAUUUGUUUUUGAUGACCCUGUAUCUGAGGGCUUUAUUUUUUUAUUGGCCAUUACACCCUUCAGGGUAUUUGUGCUUGUUUCUGGGUACUGAGGUAAGACAUGGUUGAGCUUGGUCCUUUGAAACCAUCUCGCUUUUUGGCAUGGCACCAUAUUAAUAUUACUCUCAGAUACUAAUAGACCUGAGCUGAAGGAGU
ensembl:lncRNA